AUACUUAAAACUGGCAGGGGAGAUACCAUGAUCACGAGGGUGGUUUUCCCAGGGUGAGCCUUGUCCAUUGCACUCUGGGUGUGCUGACCCCUGCGAUUUCCCCGAAUGUGGGAAACUCAAUUGUAUCAUUUGUGGUAGUGGGGGACUGUGUUUGCAGUCUCCCCUG
rnacentral:snRNA from 1 species